rnacentral:rRNA from 1 species
UACGUAGGGGGCGAGCGUUGUCCGGAUUUAUUGGGCGUAAAGAGCUCGUAGGCGGCUUGGCAAGUCGGGUGUGAAACCUCCAGCUCAACCUGGAGACGCCACUCGAUACUGCCAUGGCUAGAGUCCGGUAGGGGACCACGGAAUUCCUGGUGUAGCGGUGAAAUGCGCAGAUAUCGGGAGGAACACCGAUGGCGAAGGCAGCACUCUGGGCCGGCACUGACGCUGAGGAGCGAAAGCGUGGGGAGCGAACGAG